rnacentral:rRNA from 1 species
AAUGAACGCUGGCGGCAGGCCUAACACAUGCAAGUCGAACGUGAAGCCACCUUCGGGUGGUGGAAAGUGGCAGACGGGUGAGUAACACGUGGGAACGUACCCUUCGGUUCGGAAUAACCCAGGGAAACUUGGGCUAAUACCGGAUACGUCCGAAAGGAGAAAGAUUUAUCGCCGAAGGAUCGGCCCGCGUCGGAUUAGCUAGUUGGUGAGGUAACGGCUCACCAAGGCGACGAUCCGUAGCUGGUCUGAGAGGAUGAUCAGCCACACUGGGACUGAGACACGGCCCAGACUCCUACGGGAGGCAGCAGUGGGGAAUAUUGGACAAUGGGCGCAAGCCUGAUCCAGCCAUGCCGCGUGAGUGAUGAAGGCCCUAGGGUUGUAAAGCUCUUUCGCCAGGGACGAUAAUGACGGUACCUGGAUAAGAAGCCCCGGCUAACUUCGUGCCAGCAGCCGCGGUAAUACGAAGGGGGCUAGCGUUGUUCGGAAUCACUGGGCGUAAAGCGCAUGUAGGC